rnacentral:lncRNA from 1 species
UGGAUCUCCAGUUUAGAAAUUUUGGAAACCCUUGUUGUAGACAAUUAAACUAUGAUAUAUUGAUAUCCUAAAUAUUAGUUGCAAUAGCUUAAAUGAUGUUCAAAUGCAUUACAAGCAAACCAGCACAAAAUCUAUUAUAAGUACUUCUCAGAUUUGGUUUGAAUUCGUCAGAAAUCAGAAAUGCCUCCAAUGAAUUACCUGCUACUAAUGUUUACUAGGACGCUAUACAUUAUCUUAAUAAAUAUAAAAAAAAGACACUUUCCAUAUAUCAGUAGUUGUAAAUAUGGUGUAUGUAUAUAUAUAUGCAGGGUGUCUCAGGGGGUCAUUGCCAAGUGUGGCGUGCUGGUCUGUCAUACCAUGACCGGCGGGAUUUGCAUAGGAGCUUGUGUC